GCCGCCCGUCACUCCUCGUCCUAGCUUCACAGCCGCCACCCUCUUGCCUCUUGCUCUUCCCUCUCACAAACUCACGGGCCCUCCUUCCUCGCCGCGCCUCUCCUCUCUAGUCCGCACGUUUGGUCUCGCGUUCCCGCUCUUUCCCCUCUCAAACAAGCUCGACGUCGUGCCUCACCGUUCCCUCCCGCCGCGUCUCACCAAAGUUUCCGACACACCGGUAACUUAUCGGAAUUUACUCGUUAUUCUGAAUUCGUGAACGACCGCGUGCUCCACGAUAAUACCGUGCACAAGAAUACGAUGGAUGUGGAAUAGUAUGCAGUAGCGCAAUUUGAGAAAAGCACUGACAAUGUCGACGAAUAAUCGGUAAUGAAAUGCCGUCAUGGGUCUCGAAACAACUCCAAGGACCAAGGCAAGGGUAGGUCAGUGCGUUGGGUAAGAGGAAACGCACACACUCUCCCAUCUUUCUGAACACGUCAUACGAUCUUAAUUACAUAGCCCGGCUUGCAAACGAUACAGGUAAUACAUUUACUUUGUAACGGAGAAGGGAAUAAAUAAUCAAUUUGAUUAUCA